rnacentral:rRNA from 1 species
GAUGAACGCUGGCGGCGUGCCUAAUACAUGCCAGUCGAGCGAACAGACGAGGAGCUUGCUCCUCUGACGUUGGCGGCGGACGGGUGAGUAACACGUGGAUAACCUACCUAUAAGACUGGGAUAACUUCGGGAAACCGGAGCUAAUACCGGAUAAUAUAUUGAACCGCAUGGUUCAAUAGUGAAAGACGGUUUUGCUGUCACUUAUAGAUGGAUCCGCGCCGCAUUAGCUAGUUGGUAAGGUAACGGCUUACCAAGGCGACGAUGCGUAGCCGACCUGAGAGGGUGAUCGGCCACACUGGAACUGAGACACGGUCCAGACUCCUACGGGAGGCAGCAGUAGGGAAUCUUCCGCAAUGGGCGAAAGCCUGACGGAGCAACGCCGCGUGAGUGAUGAAGGUCUUCGGAUCGUAAAACUCUGUUAUUAGGGAAGAACAAAUGUGUAAGUAACUAUGCACGUCUUGACGGUACCUAAUCAGAAAGCCACGGCUAACUACGUG